UUUAAUAUGUUCUUGAUCCUCUCUUUCCACCAUUGCACUUAUUUUUUCUAUGUUCCAGAAACGAUGAUUGUUAGUAUCGCAAAUAAGAUCACUAACUUUCAUGUCAUGAUUACUGGUUCUAAGUCUCACAGGCCUUGGAGAUGGAUGGGAGAUCCAGUUAUCUUGUUCAGCACAUAUGUUUAAUCCAUCCCCGACUAUAUGUAAGCAACCUUUCUUAAUCACCUCUACUCCAUGAAGUAUAGAACUCCAACCAUAUGACUGGUUAGCUCGUGUUUUUUUUAUCCAAAAUGGAGGUGUCCUUAUAAUACCGAGCUUUCAUGAUCUUAGCAAAGAGUGAAUACGGAUGUCUAAGCAAUCUCCAAGCUUGUUUCACAAGAAGGGCAUCAUUGAAGAAUGAUAGAUCUUUAAAGCCUAUUCCUCCUUGCUUUUUAGAAAAUUGAAGUCUCUUCCAGGCAAUCCAGGGUAUUCCUUUAUUCUGGUCAUCUUUCUCCCACCGAAAUCUCAUCAGAAGUUUGCUAAUUUCAUCUGUUAUAUGUGCUGGAAUUUUAAAGCAUGACAUCGAGAAAACCGGCAUUGCUAGUCCAACAGACUUGAUUAGAAUUUCUUUUCCUGCUGGCGAGAGGAACUUAGCUUUCCAAGUAGAAGUUCUCUGUUGAACUUUGUCAAUAAUAUAUGUAAACAUCUCCUUCUUUUUUCGGCCAAAUUGCUCAGGUAAACCCAAGUAUUUACCGCCACCUCCAUGUUUAUCAAUUCCAAGAAUUUGUUUUAAACGUGCUUGUAGAUCACCAGGAAUCUUAGAACCGAAUGUAAUCGUUGACUUUGAUGGGUUAAUUUGUUGCCCUGACCAUUGUUCAUAUGUUGUGAAAAUGUCUUUCAAAGUUUUACAGUUUUUGUUGUUUGCCUGACAAAAGAAAAGGGAAUCAUCUGCAAAAAGAAGAUGAGUAACUGAUGGUACUCCAUUUCCUAUCUUAAUGCCUCUGAUUUUUCCUCUUUGUUGAGAUCUUUGAAUUAAAUGGCUUAGAACUUCUGCACAAAGAAUGUAUAGAUAAGGAGACAAUGGGUCUCCUUGUCUUAAUCCCCUUUCAGGUUUGAUUCUUCCUUGUGGGUUUCCGUUGAUUAGCACAGAGUAUUCUACUGUCUGAACUGAUUCCAUUAUCCAGGUGAUCCAACGUCCAUCAAAUCCAUAAGCUUGAAGCGUUUUUUCAAGAAAGCUCCAUUCAAUGCGAUCGUAAGCUUUAGAAAUAUCAGUUUUGACAGCCAAAUAAGUCUGAGAGACACGUUUCCUUGAUUUUAAGGAAUGCUUAAGUUCAUGGGCGAUCAUUAUGUUGUCAGUAAUCAUCUUUCCAGGGAUGAAAGCUGCUUGUGCCUCAGAAACAAUGUCGCUUAAGUAGACUUUAAGUCGGC
rnacentral:lncRNA from 1 species